rnacentral:lncRNA from 1 species
GCAGGUGGAACUAGAGGAAGACAAACUGCUCUGAGAAAAACCUGCAAUUAGAGUGAGUUAUGGCUGGUAUCAAAGCUCAUGGGUGUGUUCUGAGGACCAAAUGAAUUAAAGGAUAUGAGCACCUGGGUCAAAGCAAUGAAAGGUGUGAACUAGACUGGCUUGAGGGAUGACUAGAUGGCUGGUGAAGCAGUGCUCCUGGGUGUUUCUGAAAGUUGCCAGAGACUGACCGACAUUCAAGUCAGGCGACUGAGAGAGGAAGAUGCGCCCCAAUGUGGGUGGGCACCAUCCAGUGGAUUGCCAGUAUGGCUAGAACAGGGCAGACGGUGGUGGUGAGUGCCUCUCGCUAUGUUUGAUGC